UACGAAGGUCCCAAGCGUUAUCCGGAUUUAUUGGGUUUAAAGGGUGCGUAGGCGGGUUAUUAAGUCAGUGGUGAAAGCCUACAGCUUAACUGUAGAACUGCCAUUGAUACUGAUGAUCUUGAGUAUGAUUGAGGUGGGCGGAAUGUGUCAUGUAGCGGUGAAAUGCUUAGAUAUGACACAGAACACCGAUUGCGAAGGCAGCUCGCUACACGAAUAUUGACUCUGAGGCACGAAAGCGUGGGGAUCAAACAGG
rnacentral:rRNA from 1 species